rnacentral:rRNA from 1 species
AACGAACGCUGGCGGCGUGCCUAACACAUGCAAGUCGAGCGCGAAUGGAGCAAUCCUAGUAGCGCGGCGCACGGGUGCGUAACACGUGGGUAAUCUGCCUGGGAGACCGGAAUAACCUGCCGAAAGGCUGGCUAAUACCGGAUAAGCCCACGGACUCUUCGGAGUCUGAGGAAAGGUAGGCCUCUGUAUACAAGCUAUCACUUCCAGAUGAGCCCG